CCGUACCAUGCUGAAUAUACCGGUUCUCGUUAGAUCACCGAAGUCAAGCAUCAUUGGGCGCGGUCAGUACUUGGGUGGGUGACCAUCUGGGAACACCGCGUGCCGUU